rnacentral:rRNA from 1 species
UACGUAGGGAGCAAGCGUUAUCCGGAUUUAUUGGGUGUAAAGGGUGCGUAGGCGGUUUAAUAGGUCUAUGGUUUAAGUCCGAAGCUUAACUUCGGUUCGCCGUAGAAACCGUUAAACUUGAGUAUGGUAGAGGCAAGUGGAAUUUCUAGUGUAGCGGUAAAAUGCGUAGAUAUUAGAAGGAACACCAGUGGCGAAGGCGACUUGCUGGGCCAUUACUGACGCUGAGGCACGAAAGCGUGGGGAGCAAAUAG